rnacentral:lncRNA from 1 species
UAUAUUUGAUAUACACGUAAAACGGUUGUUCUCAUAUAUAUCAGCGUUUGGUUAGGGGAUAGGGAUAGGAAUAGGCUCUUAUCCCCUUUAUAUCCAGACGCUAAUUUUUUAUUCGAGAAUAGUAGUUCUCGGUUAUCCCCACCAACACCUCCAUUUUUUUAUGUAAAACUACUUAAAAUUGUUCUUAUCUCCGGGAACAACCCAAUUUUCAUCCAAACACUAUUUUUCUUAUCCCCAUACUUGUACCUAUCCCUGUAAUAGCUAGUA